CAGUGGCAGCUAAUAGGCCGGUGACGACGACCGCCGAGCUCCACCCGCCCGGGAAGGGGAAACACCCUCGGUCGGACUCGUGACACAAUGAGUGUAUUGUUCAACAUGUAAAUGGUAUAUAGGUGUGCAGGACAAUACAAUGCGGCCACAGAUACUGAAAGCAACACUGACUGUGGUGUCUCCAAUCAGAAAACGGGAAAUUCCCUGCUCCAGCACCACUCUAUAUAGUUUGGUAAACGGACAAUUGUAUGGAUAUUGGUGGUUGGUUGACAAACUGUGACUUACAGUAUUCCUCAUUUGGACUACUGUACAUGUACUUGCUACAUCCUCUCAAGAUAUUCCAUCAUCAUAUCCACCUACUUGGAUUCUGUCUAAGGACCAGUUGAGUUCAGCAGUGGUCCCUUUUGUGGCAAUCAGUGUGUCAGGCAAUCAACCCAGAAGAAAACCAUGAAGAAAUUCAACUUCAUGAGCAGAAAGAGUAGGCCAUUGGGGAUAGAGGACGGGAGUCCUCUGAUUAAGAACAGUACACUGCCUACAGAUGAAGAGGAACAAACCGGGAAUGUGGGGUAUGGGAAUCCCUACUUGGAGAAUGGCUUUAACAAUCAUCAGGAGUUGGGCAAUCAGGGGGGUCAGGAGAAGGGACAGUCAUUACUCAGUGUACUUGCAGAAGCUUUGAGGGUCAGCCAUGUUGGCCCUCAAGAGAGACUUGAAGCUAAUUUGGAGGGGCCACCAGAAGAGAUUAUGUGCCAUGAGGCUCAAAAGAAGGACGAUACACACCCAGAAGUCUUGCUCCAGAGGUACUUUCAUCUUAUUGAAGCAUCUGUGGACAAACACUUUCCCAAACUGCCAGCAGGGAACACUGUGAAUCAGCUGGAGGGCUACCUGAUAAAAGUGCAAAUAACUGUGCAAGGGGAGCUUCUGAGGUUGGCACCCCUGCUCAAAGAGGCUCAGUUGCGGAAGCAUUUGAUUGCUUGCUAUCAUCAGCGUAUGUUUGACUGUCUACAGCAGAUCCUUCAGCAUGUCAACACAAAAAAAGAGGCCUUCACAGUUCUUGACUGGGUACUACACACAUACUUGAGUGAGGAGCUGCUAGGACACCCCAACAUCUGGGAUGAGGCUCUACAUGCAGUUGACCUUCUCCUUCUGACAGACUGGAUCCCACAAGCUGAGAAGAAACUCUUGGCCACUGUGCAGGAGGACAUCUCCACAUCACUGAGGAGGAUCCUUCAGAACGAGGAGUCGGGUAGAGAGGUGUGUGUCUCUGGAGAGGAGGCCUUUAUCAAACUGCAUCUGGAUGUCAUCCAGAGCAUCAAUGCUGUUCUCCAGAAAGCAAAGAUGAUGAGCCAAACUCUGAUGCGCAAGGUCCAAAUAGUCUGUUGGCAAGAACUACAGGACUUUGUGGAAAGGUAUGUCAAUGUUGAAAAGAAGCACCUUCAGAAACUAGCAGGAAUGGGAACGUCAGGCACAAUGCACUUCUUUAAGACGUUCAACACCUGCAUUGAACUCAAGUUGUAUAUUUCAAGGAUUGCCAAAGAUGACACAAGCUUAGACUGUGUUAAAACCAUAUCAACACUUAAGGGGUUGGAAGCUCUUUCUUGGAAGCUUCUCCUGGAAAAACCAAUUCAACUUGCACAGAUGUCCUUGAAGAAGUAUUUCAAAAGAGAGGAUGAACAAAUGGAAAAUCUAAUGAAAGAGAUUACAUUUAUUUUCCAAGACCUUCCCAAAGACAAGGAUACGCAAAAGACUGUGAUUAACAAAGCCUAUCAGUGCAUCACCCUUCUGUACCUCCAACACCUGGUGCAGAGUAACCAUGGGAAGCUGGUGAAGAGAUGGGAUUAUGUGAACAAAAGAGUGAUGCAUGAUGCCGAGCUCCUUCACUCCAUCUUCUCAGUCCUGAAUCCUGAUGUUAAACAGUGGAACAUCAUACUGAUUAAAGUGAGGGAAGUGCUGGAGUGCAGCGACAUUGAAAGUCUCAAGAUAAUAGUCAGUGAGAUACUGAGGGACAACACCAAUACAAGUGCUGCUGAGCACCUUCCAGCCCUGCUGCGCUGGAAGGGAGGCCUGUCAUGGAGACUGACCCGGGAGGUUCUGGAGGCAAGCCAUGAAGUGUACUCCAUUGACCUCUCCCAAACCAGGUCUGCACCCUGGUUUGACUGCCUUCUUUGCUGCUGAGUGUGUGAACUGGGACGUUUUAGGCAAAGGACAUUAACGACCCCACUCUGACAACAUGACCCUCAAGUUCUCAACCGACAACACAAUAUUUGGAACUAUGUUUACAUGUCUUUGUCAACUAUUUUAAAGUACUAUGGAGCACCUGCCUACCCUGCUACAUUGGAAGGGAGGACUGUCACAGAGACAGACCUGGGAAGUUCUGGAGGCAAGCCAGGAAGUGUACUCCAUUUCCUGUCCCAAACCAGGUCUGCAGCCUGGUAUGGCUGCUUUUUUUGCUGCCGAGUGUGGGAACUGGGAAGUCUCAUGUAGAGGACAAUAACAACCCCCAUUCGAAACAACAUGACCAUCAAGUUCUCACUCUACUGCACAAUAUUUGGAGCUCUGUUUACAUGUCUUUGUCAACUUUUUAAAAAGGACCUGAGCCCUAGGACCGUGCCCCAGGACUACCUGACAUGAUGACUCCUUGCUGUCCCCAGUCCACCUGGCCAUGCUGCUGCUCCAGUUUCAACUGUUCUGCCUUGUUAUUAUUCGACCAUGCUGGUCAUUUAUGAACAUUUUAACAUCUUGGCCAUGUUCUGUUAUAAUCUCCACCCGGCACAGCCAGAAGAGGACUGGCCACCCCACAUAGCCUGGUUCCUCUCUAGGUUUCUUCCUAGGUUUUGGCCUUUCUAGGGAGUUUUUCCUAGCCACCGUGCUUCUACACCUGCAAUGCUUGCUGUUUGGGGUUUUAGGCUGGGUUUCUGUACAGCACUUUGAGAUAUCAGCUGAUGUACGAAGGGCUAUAUAAAUAAAUUUGAUUUGAUUUUGUUCAGAGGAGACUGUGUGAAUCAGGCCUUCAUGGUUGAAUUGCUGCAAUGAAACCACUACUAAAGGAUAACAAUAAUAAGAGACUUGCUUGGACCGGUGGAAAUGUGUCCUUUGGUCUGGAGUCCAAAUUUGAGGUUUUUGGUUCCAACUGCCGUGUCCUUAUGAGAUGCGGUGUGGGUAAACUGAUGAUCUUCGCAUGUGUAUUUCCAACCGUAAAGCAUGGAGGAGGAGGUGUUAUGGUGCUUUGCUGGUGACACGGUCUGUGAUGUAUUUAGAAUUCAAGGCACACUUAACCAGCAUGGCUACCACAGCAUGCUGCAGUGAUACGCCAUCCCAUCUGGUUUGGGCUUAGUGGGACUAGAAUUUGUUUUUCAACAGGACAAUGACCCAACACACCUCCAGGCUGUAUAAGGGCUAUUUUACCAAGGAGAGUGAUGGAGUGCUGCAUCAGAUGAACUGGCCUAUUAUUCUACAAUGUGGAAAAUAGCAAAAAUAAAGAAAAACCCUUGAAUGAGUAGGUGUUCUAAAACUUUGGACCGGUAGUGUAACUUACUGGUAAAGUGAGUGUUUACCUGGAACUGAUACACAAAAUAAAUAAUGGUCGGCUA